AUGAAGAUCAACAUUCCCUCUAGGGAUGAGGGUUCUCCAAAACGAACUCGUUUCCCCGAGGGUGGUGCUUUUGUAGAGGAGACGUCUUGGCUCCAGGGUAAUCCCACAAAAGAAAGGGAUUCAUGGAAAGGGAAAUGCGAAGACACAAAACUGAUAUGUUCUACUCUUCAGAAGGAGCUUUUUACCCUACAAGAGGAGGUUAAAGCUGCCAAUUAUUUGUAA